ACUUGGUGGUGUAGGCAUUUGUGCAAGAGGUCCCUAAAGCGCUCCCAUGUUUCAAAAAAUGGUUCCUCAUCCACUUAUAAGAAAAUAGUGAUGGCCUUCCUCAGCU